rnacentral:rRNA from 1 species
ACAGUGUCUGGUGGGUAGUUUGACUGGGGCGGUCUCCUCCUAAAGAGUAACGGAGGAGCACGAAGGUUGGCUAAUCCUGGUCGGACAUCAGGAGGUUAGUGCAAUGGCAUAAGCCAGCUUGACUGCGAGCGUGACGGCGCGAGCAGGUGCGAAAGCAGGUCAUAGUGAUCCGGUGGUUCUGAAUGGAAGGGCCAUCGCUCAACGGAUAAAAGGUACUCCGGGGAUAACAGGCUGAUACCGCCCAAGAGUUCAUAUCGACGGCGGUGUUUGGCACCUCGAUGUCGGCUCAUCACAUCCUGGGGCUGAAGUAGGUCCCAAGGGUAUGGCUGUUCGCCAUUUAAAGUGGUACGCGAGCUGGGUUUAGAACGUCGUGAGACAGUUCGGUCCCUAUCUGCCGUGGGCGCUGGAGAACUGAGGGGGGCUGCUCCUAGUACGAGAGGACCGGAGUGGACGCAUCACUGGUGUUCGGGUUGUCAUGCCAAUGGCACUGCCCGGUAGCUAAAUGCGGAAGAGAUAAGUGCUGAAAGCAUCUAAGCACGAAACUUGCCCCGAGAUGAGUUCUCCCUGACUCCUUGAGAGUCCUGAAGGAACGUUGAAGACGA